ACAGUGGCAGAUUUUCUUUAAUAGAUAUAUUUCAAACAGAUACAACAAAUUAAAAAAUCUAAUUCAUGGCAGGUAAACAUGGGUGCUCAAAAAGUUCCACAUAGACAUUUACACUUGGGCCAUCAGUAUUUCCCUCACAUUCCCUUUUGUUAAGUCCCAUCUUCGCAGUGGCAGUACAGGAGAAAUCUCCACCGUCACCGCACAAUCCACCAGGCGCAUUACCACCUGAAGUGAAGGUCUCAUCUCGAAGGUGCGCUCAGCCAUAAAAAGAAAACAUAUUACAGAAAGGAAAAAUAAGUGUGCUCUUCCCACCCGCAAAGCGGUCUCACCUUCAGUUCUAGCUUUCUUUACUCCAAAGUCUUCUGAGUCUUCCAAGCAUCUCUUUCGAUUUGUUCCCACACUAAUAUGAUUAGGAAAUACAUUCUGAUGACCCCCAUUUAAGAUGCCAUUGUUAUAGAAAUGGUUCAGAUGACAAUUCUGGAGGUUCAAGAGAAACUGGGCACACUCUUGGAAACCCUGGGUUUGUGCAAUGUCUGCUGCUGUCAGGCCACUGGCAUUUCUCAGGCUGUACAACACAAAAACACUGAAUUACACCCCAUCCGCGUGCUAACCUGGUCUCUGCUCCUGCUGAACUGACUAGCUAUCUGAAGGUGGUAUGAAAGAGUAAACAAAUUCAUAGCAAAUCUUCAUUAAAGAAGUAGUUAAUCAAUCUAGCUCUGUAACUAACUUCUCUUAUAUACAUUUGAUUUCUAAGCAAGAUUUGGGAGAUAAACUAAAUAUGCUAAACUUCUAAAAAAGGCAUCUUCCUAUUUAACUUCUCAAAAUCAUGUUUUAUGUUAGUCUGAAGAAUCUAAAUUUACGCUAACUUCAGACUUGAAACUGAAUUCUAUAUUAUAUGCACUUAAUUUUAAUACCCAUUCCUUUAGCGUGAAUAAAAUCAUAACAAACAACAUGUACUGAGAUUGUCCAUGGCAUUCAUAACUGUCUUCCUAAAAACAAAGCAAUGGCUCACCAACGAGCCAGCCUUCAUGCUUACAUGUGACACUGUAAGUGGAAGUUUAGAAGGAUGUCCUGACAUUAAAAAGUAGCCUAUCAUCAGAUUCCAGAGCUGAACAGCUGUGUUUUUCUGUCAGAUUUUGAUUGUUUUGGCCUUGCUUGGGAAAACCUGCAGGAGUAUUGUAUUUUUGGCAUUGUAGAGCAUUUGAGUAGUUGGUUCCUUUAAAAAGGCUUUGAAUACUGUCCUAAAAACUCAUCCCUACCACUCACAAGAACCAAAGUUUUACCUGGCUAAUAGUACUAAAAAGGAAAGGUCUGAGACCUCUACAGUAGCUAAAACUCAGAUUCAAGUAGGAAGUGAUGGCAGAGUAAGUGAAAGAGCUGAAUAAAAUAGAGUAAGUUGAACUUGUAAACCUUUAGACACUGAAUUAAAACUGAGGGAUCAAAAGUAACUCCAUGUUGAAGUUCCCCUGGAAGACAAGAAUGUACACUGCUCUGUGAAAUAAACCUGUAAAAAAGCAGACAUCCUGUUAGCUGCAGGUUGAUAAACAAACGGGAGAAGUACUUAACAGCAAAGACAGCUUCCAUACCUGUUCAGCAAGCUACACUACAUCCACAGCAAAAGCAUGAUGAAAUCAAGGCCUUGUGCUGUGUCACUCAAACAACCACUCCAGAACCCUGAUGCCUUUCUUGGGGUUACUGUUAAUGCAAAAAAAAAAAAAAAAAAAAAAAACCCCGCAUUUGAGAGUGAAAACUACAGAAUUAGGGACAAAUAAUAUUUUCUUAUUUAUAAGGACUGACAAUAGCCUUGUAUUCGUUAUUUGCAGACAUCAUAGAGCUCUGACCUUGGAAAUGAGAAGUGUGCAUGGACACUAGCUAAGCGUCUCUACUUUUUAAAGCAUAAGAUAAAUGCAUUACACCUUUUGAAAAAAGACCCAAAUCCUAUCUGAUCAGAGAUAAAAGAGAAUUGAGAAUCUCAGAAACCAACAAAAUUCUUAAAAAUAUAAGGCGGCUAUGUGCAGGACUAUUACAGACUAAAGUCACUAUUUUUAUUAGCCUUAUUAAGACUGCAUGGCUAUGAAUGGCCAUGAGUAUUUUCUAGUAUUGCAUAAUAUUUUUAUUUUGAUAUAUGAAUUAAAUGAAAAGGAAGCACCAAAGUUUGGGCAGAUUGUAUUACAUUAAUUAUACUUUGUACAAAAUCAGAUCACCUUGUUAUUGAAAUAGAAAAUAUACUAAUAUUACGUGACAGCUUCAUCAUAUAGCUGGACUUUUUUUUAAUGGUAUAUUUCACUUUCAAAAGAUAUCAGAAGUGCAGAUGACCUGGGAGGGUCUAUUCUGUCAAGAAUGUGAACAGAAAAAUAAGUUGCCACAUGAAAAUUCAAAAACUCUUCAAGGAGAACAUAAGUUUACAAACUGAUUAUUUCUAUAGAUAAGCAUAGACUUGCUCUCCAAAAUCAAGAAACAGAGAAAUGAGAAGCUACCACUUAGUAUUAGGACAAAUAAAAAUAUGAAAUAAAGCCCACAGUAAAGAUUACUCUUUAGUGGACCAGAGAAUAAAAAAGAGCAAACAGAUUUUUGAAAUGGCACUUAGAAUCAUAAAUACCAUGCUGGGCACGGUGGCUCACGCCUGUAAUCCCAGCACUUUGGGAGGCCAAAGCGGGUGGAUCACCUGAGGUCAGGAGCUUUGAGACCAGCUUGGCUUACAUGAUGAAACCCUGGCUCUACUAAAAAUACAAAAAAUUAGCGGAGUGUGGUGGUGGCACAUGCCUAUAGUCCCUGCUACUUGGGAGGCUGAGGCAGGAGAAUCGCUUGAACCUGGGAGGCAGAGGCUGCAGUGAGCCGAGAUCACACCACUGCACUCCAGCCUGGGCAACAGAGCAAGAUUCUAUCUCUAAAUAAAUAAAUAAAUACCAAUUCGCUGAGGGAAGUUUAGAUGCUCAAAGGGCAUGCCAACAUUCUGAAAUUGUUAAAAGAACAUCCAAAGCACAUUCGAUUCCUUUAUUCCUUAUUCAGAAGCUGAAGACUACACUGAAUUUGGGUUAGAACAGCAAGUUUACUGAUCUUCCAAAGAAAUAUAACCUUAUAGAAAAAUAAUCAACAAAAUAGUGCCAACAUAUGGAGAUUCCUGGAGACUGAAGUUUCAGAGUGUCAGCCUACACAUAGGUAGCACUGGUAAGCUCUCCCACUUCACUUUUUCCCCUGCCAAAGGUAGUUAAAUACGUGCUUGUCCUCUACUUAGACCAACCAAAUUUCCAUGUGGUCUUAGGUAUUAUCUCAAAACUUACUUUACUAGAAGAGCUCAAAAGACGGAUUCUGGCCCAAUCAUGCUAUGUACUCGUACGUAAGGACCAAGGAAGCAAGAACAAUCACAGGUCAAACAACUUCUAGCAUCUCACAUAAUUUUGGGGCACUAGAAGGCAGACAUGAUGGGGAGGUGAAAAAGUUCUAGAAAUUGUAUUGGACAGGUAUCGGAAUCUAGGACACAUGGUAACUGGAGGAAUUACUUAGAGGAGACUGUAAUUUUGCUCUACAUUUAAGUGGCACUAUCUAUGCAGCAUUAUCGGAAACAGAAAUAUCCAGCACCCUUUCUCUGCUUCUAGUGAGGUACAAGAACAUUUCAAUUCUAUCAUUUUCCUUGUUACCAAGGGCUGAAUGUAUACAACAUACAGUUUAAUUUGUUAGCAUUUAUAUUCUACUCAGAGGAAAUCUGUUGGUACCUGACUCAGGAACACAACACAAAAUGACACCACCAUCUCUUGCCCCUGAAAGUCCUCAUUCUCAUUUCCUCUCCUUACCUACAUUCAUCAUCUCUACUAUCCCUGCUCACAUUAAAAAUCUUGCAAGUGGUCACUCAACUGUGUAGUGCACAUUAUAGAAAUUGGCCUGAAAUGAUCAUUAAGGAUCAUCUAAUCCAGAAGGCACUUUUCUAAAAAGGACUAUGUAGUAAUUAUUUUAGACUUUGGAGACCAUACAUUCUCAGUCCUAACUACUCAAUUCUUUUGUUGUAGGCUGAAAGCAGCCUCAAGGCAAUUGAGCAUGGCUCUCAUAAAGCUUUAUUUAUGAACACUGAAACUGAAAUUUCAUCUAAUUUUAUGUAUUAGAAAAUAUUAUUCUAUUGAUUUUUGCUCAACUAUUAAAAAAUGUAGAAACCAUUCUUGGGCCAUAGGUUAUACAAAAAAAGGCAGCAGGCCAGAACUGCUGAAUAACAUUUAACCAAAUAGAUGAUACUGUAAAUAUUCCUCUAUCCUUUAUUAUGGGGUACAUUGUAAAUUCCAAUACAAUGUAUAGGGAUUAAAAAAAACCAGCAUAAUUGCAUAUGCAUCACCUCAAACACUUUCCAUUUGUACUGAAUUAGCCAUACAAAAAAAAUAAAAAAUUACUGUUAGUCACCCUACAGUGCAAGGUAACACUAGAAUUUAUCUUUCCAUCUAGUAACCACUGUUUUUUAAAGAGACAGAGUAUCUCCCUGUUGCCCCAGCUGGAGUGCAGUGGCACAAUCAUAGUUCACCACACCCUGGAACUCCUGGGCUAAGGGAUCCUCCUUAGCCUCAGCCUCCCAAGUAGCUAGGUAUACAGGCAUGUGCUACCAUGCCUGGCUACUUUUUUUUUUUUUUUUUUAAUUUUGAGAGAUGUUGCUCAGGCUGGUCUCAAACUCCAGGCCUCAAGUGAUCCUCCCACCUCAGACUCCUAAAGCACCGAGAUUAGAGGCAUGAGCCACUCUCUACUUCUAUGAGAUCUUUUUUACCUUCCACAUAAGUACAGUACAUGGAGUAUUUAUCUUUCUGUGCCUGGCUUACUUAACAUAAUGUCUUCUAAGAUCAUACAUGUUGCUGAGAAUAACAGAAUUUUGUUUUUUUAAUGGCCAAAUAGUAUUCCACGGGGUAUAUAUACCACAUUUUAUCUGUUCAUUUGCUGAUAGACACAGGUUGAUUCCAAUCUUGGGUACUGUGAAUAGUGCUGGAACGAGCAUGGCAGGUGCAGAUGUCUCCAUAUAUGGAUUUUCUUUUGGAUAUAUACCCAGUAGUGGGACUGCUGAAUCAUAUGGUAGUUCUAUUUUUAGUUUGUUCAGGAACCUCCAUACUCUUCUCCAUAACGGUUGUACAAGUCUACAUUCCCACUAACAGUGUUUAAACGUUCCUUUGCCUCUGCAUUCUCGUCAGCAUUUGUUACUGUCUUUUGGUAACUGUCAUUCUAACGGGGGUAAGACAAUCUCUCAUUGUGGUUUUGAUUCUCUUUAGAACGAAUAUUUCUCCUCAUUCCUCUACUCUUAAUAAUGGAUUUUCUGAAAAACAUCUAUUAAUUUUAUGCACUAUUCAAUUCAAACAACUUUUUAAAAGUUGCCAAAUCUGUCACAAAAUAUUAAACAACAAGAAAAAUAUCUAAAGGUAAACUUGAGAGGGGUGUAAAACAAAAGACUCUGAGAGCGCACUUAGCUGUAAAACAAUCAUUCCUAUUCCUAAAUUGAGUGUUUUUGGUUACAUGUUCUAAGUGCCUUACAAUAAACCAGGCAAUGUGCUUUAUCUGGAGAAAGGGAGCCCUAACUUCAAAGUUUGAGUUCCUCCAACUUUUUUAAUAGUUAAAUUUCAAGUACGUUAGACUGAAAAUAAUUUGGGUUUCCAAGUCAAAGAUUAGAACAAAUAAUCAUUAAAGAUCAUAAAAGAAGUUCAGGUCUUUAAAUUCUAUUUUCAUUUGUUAACCAAUAUUUCAGUUUUCAUGUUUUAAUUGCUAAAAUUCAGUAGGAGUUGAGCACGUAAAUGAAACACUUGAUUUACAGGUUCUGUGUUUCCAUCCACACUCAACUCUAGUACUUACAGUACUUUGUUCUGUCACAGUACUUUUUAAAUACUCCAUCCUUUACCCUUCAAUCCACAGGUUUUUUUGUCUGUUUGUUUUAAACAGGGUCUCACUCCCAUCACCCAGGCUGGAGUGCAGUGGUGCAAUCACAGCUCACUGUAGCCUCGUCUACCUCCUGGGCUCAGGUGCUCCUCCCACUUCAGCCUCCUGAGUAGCUGGGACCACAGGUACACAACACCAUACCCAACUAGUUUUUCUUUUCUUUUUUUUUUUUUUUUUUUUUUGAGACGGAGUUUCACUCUUGUUGCCUAGGCUGGAGUGCAAUGGCGUGAUCUCGGCUCACCGCAACCUCUGCCUCCCAGGUUCAAGAGAUUCUCCUGCUUCAGCCUCCCGAGUAGCUGGUAUUACAAGCGCCCACCACCACACCCAGCUAAUUUUUUGUAUUUUUAGUAGAGACGGGGUUUCACCAUGUUGGCCAGGCUGGUCUUGAACUCCUGACCUCAGAUGACCCACCCACCUCAGCCUCCCAAAGUGCUGGGAUUACAGGCGAGAGCCACUGCGUCCAGCCAUUUUUUUUGUAUUUUUUAUAGAGACCGGAUUUCACUCCACAGGUAUUGACUUAGUGUAUUACAUGACCAUAGGCACUAACUGCUGGCCACUCCUGUCAACCUCAAGUGAGGUAUCAGUAGUAAAGUUCAUCCGGACUGUGUUUACACACUAUUCCAAAGGGAAAAUUAAAGUAUCCAGAAGAGUUUAAAGAGUCUCAAAAACUAUUUUGAAUGCAAACUGGUAGUAAUGAAAGUGUACACAUUAUUUUCAGAUGAAAUCUUCAAAACAGACGCACUUUUGAACUUAGCAUCCCCAGUUUGAUGCACCUGGAUACAUGGGCUGUGCCUGACCUAAAACGUGUGUCUGUUCGUUUCUGAAAAUAGGACUGUGUUGUUCUACAGCUAUAGCCUACCUCCUUGGUCCUCUCCUACAUCCAUUUGAAAAAUCUUUGAAAAUGGGAAGAGAUUUUUAAAACUCAGACAACGGUCAACUUGAGGUUCAAACUGGUUCUAGUUUGAAGUUCUAAAAUUAACUUUCUUUAAAAGAAACUCAGCAUGAUCAGAUUUUUAGGCUAGCAAGCUAAAUGUGCUGCAAUGUACUGUGGAAACUACGAUGACUGUGCUUUUAUCUAUAAAUUCAAUCUCCUGUAACAUUCACCAAGACUACGAAAAGCAAUCACUGAGCAGGCCACCCAUUUUCUCUCUACUAUUCUUUCAAAACAGGAAUAUUAAAAUGUGGUACAACACAGAAUCAUCUUUACUGUGAAUUACAUGUUCUGCUAAGUAACUUGCAAAAAAAAAAAAUCAAACUGGCAGUAACUUUACUAAAGAUACAAAUGCUUAUAUGCUAUAUUUUCUUAUUCUGAAUAGAAUAUUAAAAUUUAUUACCUCUAAGCCAAGCACAGUGGCUCAACCCUAUAAUCCUGGCGCUUUGGGAGGCAGAAGCAGGAGGAUCACUUGAGGCCAGAAGUUUGAGACCAGCCUAGGCAACACAGGAAGACCCUGUCUCUUCAAACACUCAAAUUUAUAUCUAAGAAUUCUCCCCCAAAGAACUUUCACUAAAAUUUAUAUCUAAGAAUUCUCCCCUAAAGAACUUUAAAAAUUAGGCUCCACUCUGAAGCCAGCCAGGGUCCCACCAGUUUCCACUUAUAGUGCCACAAUUCCAGAACAAAGGAGAAGCCAUUCUGAUGAGAACGACUUUGUUUCAAUUUUGAAAAACCACGGAUCAGGAAAUACCUGAAGUAUAAUUUUUAGAAUCCGAGUUGUCACAUCACCUUCAGGAUGUUUUCUUAUUGUUAAUGCCAUGUGACAAUAAAAGAUAACAAUUUUUAUAUAAAUAAUAUUUCUGUUAAAAUUCUGAUCUCAACUUAGCUAUUGUUAGUUUACAAAUAGAAAGGUAGAUAUCAUAAAUUAGGUAAGCAAAGCAUGCAAAUCUAAAGCAUCUCUAUCUGAAUUCCUAGAUUAGCGUUAAAACCAAUCACCGCAACAAAUACCUCAACAGUAUGCCUCGUGUGCAGAAAGGAAGCGAUACUGAACAUUCAAUGCCACAACUGUAAGGUUUUCGGAGAAGCACCUGUGGCAGUUUCAGCAGUUUCUAUAUGGAAUGCUCCCCCUUUCUAGGAUUACUUGAAAAAAUCAAGUCAAUUCGAAUUACGUAGCUGUAAAACAUUGACAUGUGUAGUUUUUACAGAUUCAGAAUCUUCUGUGUGAUUUAAAACGGGCAAUGGUUCAUAAUACAGGAAACUUAAAUAAUAAGGGAUCACAUAUUUGCAGGCAACAUUUGGAUUAAAAAUACAUAGACAACAUAAGGUGCAGAAGCACACUGAGCUUAAGCCAUUGUCAUGUGACCACCUUGACCAUGAGCUACUGCUCUAAAACACUGCCUUUUAAAUUACCUUUGGUAAUUUUUUAGCAUGAAGCCAAUUUAAAUAUGUCAAUAUUUCAACAUAAGUUUAACAGUAUGGACUAAAAACCAUCAACUCACGAUUCUGGUUACUUUAAAAUUUGGUAUGCUGUAUCUCAAAUACAUUAGUAACUAUUCCUAGAUGGAAAUAAGCAAAUACAUGGAAUCAUUAAAAAAAGAUAAAAAACAUUACUAAAUUGUCCAUUUGUAAAGAUAAAACAUUAGCAAACAUCUAAGAUAUCUUCAGCAAAAGAAAUACAUGUGUAUUUUUAACCCUUUGGUAUCCAAACUCUUAUUUAAUUAUGAAGACUUUCUUAAAUAUAUUCUUCAGUUAAUAAUAGGAAGAAACUAUUUUUAAAGAGUUUCUACCUAAAUAAAUUUGGUGCCAAGUUUUCAAGUUUAAAGUUACUGAGAAUAGUUUUACACUGCAAUUGAACCAAAAUUAUGUUUUCAAACAUUAAAAUGUAAAACCAUCAUUCCAGUAGUCUGAUGAAAUAUUUAGCAUGCUCCUGCUAUAAUUUAGCAAGGGAGAAAGACAUUUGGAUUUAGCAAACACUGGUUUUAUUUGAAAGCACUACCUAUAAAAGUAGUAAGGAAAUUAUUAAAAUCUGUAUUUUAAUCAAGCUGCUAUGAAAAACAAUCAAAAUUCUGAACAAUUUCUUAACAAGUCUAGAAUGAUAUCAACCCACUUACUGUCCCUUUCUAGCAGGCAGAACUUAAUAACUAUCUCAGGAACUGAUUCCUCCAUCCUGAAACACCUUAACAACCGGAAAAUAGCCAAGACCAGACAAGUCUGCUGUGGGGACAAUUAGAUAAAAGGAGGCUGCACAGUGGCUCACACCUGUAAACCCAGUGCUCUGGGAGGCCAAGGUGGAAGGACUGCUUGAGCCCAGGAGUUUGAGACCAGCCUGGGUAACACAGCAAGACCCCAUCUCUACUAAACAUUUUUAAAAAUUAGUUGGGCAUGGUGGUAUGUGCCUAUAGUCCUGGCUACUCAAGAAUCUGAGGCAGGAGGAUCACUGGAGCCCAGGAGUUUGAAGUUGCAGUGAACUAUAAUCAUGCCACUGUACUUUAGCCUGGACGACAAAGGGAGACUCUGUCUCUUUUUAGAAAAAAAAAAAAAAAAAAAAAAGAGGAGGCAAAAGUAGGAUGUGAGGAUGACUAGAAUUCAGAGGACCUAAAAUCAGAAAAUAUGAAUUCAGAGUCAUAAUUCUGGUAGAUUUUGUAACUGAAAUAUUAUUCUGAUGGGCAAAAAAAUGAACAAAUAUAAAGAAACCACGAAUUUCAAAAUGAAUAGCUAAAAGUAAAUCUAGGUUACAUUUUGCUAAGGGCAAAAGUCACAAAUGAAUUUAACACUAAUAUUAAAUAUGCUCAUCACCUGUAUUUGACCUAAUGAAAAUCUGGUUUCUAGACAGGGCUCUAUGGUAAACAAAGGUGGGUCAUAAAUGGUCAAUUAUGAUCCAAACUAAGACAAUUCCAUUUUAAUUAAAAUUUCUUUUAAUUAAAGUGAAGCAGUAUUCUUUGUGGCAUUAGAAUAGUCUACUAACAUCACAUUCUAGGCUUUGUUAUAGCCAACUGUGCCUACUUCCUAAACUAGGCAAGAGAGACUUUUCUAGAGUGAGUCACUGAAUUUGCUUAUAUAAGGCUAUCGAUGCUUCUCAAGCUAUCUGAUGAUCCCAGUUAAGAUAAAAAUAAUUAAGUUAAAAUACAUGUAGCCCAGCUGAAAAUCUGGUUACCACAGAAUAAAUGGCUUCUCAAGAAAUCCUCUCCUGUAGAAAAGUUCUGAGACUCUGCCAUUAAACACUGGCAUCCGUAUAAUGCAGUAUUAAAACGGACCUACAAAUCUGCCUGAGAUGCAAGUCAUGCUGGUUUCAUUCUAAAUCUUUUUAUUUCUACUCAGUGGCAAAAAGCUAUUUUACUAGCUGGUUGAUAUGGAAACAUCCUCCACUUAUCUCUCAAGAAAAUAAACACAAAUCAGCCAAAAGUAAUUGGUACCAAAUUACUGAAAGUACAGCUAUUCCAAGGCCCGAAUUCUAUUUACAAUGCUAGUAGUGAAAAGGUCUUCUUAAUUAUCAGCAGACAGCAAGUUUUCAAGUCUUUUUCCAAAAUCACAUUAAGACUUAAUGUUAUGCUGUUAUUUGUUCCAUCGUUCAAAAGAAAAAUGAGAUGACAAUCUUUUUGUAAUAGUAUAUCCUCUUCUUCCAGUCAAUACCUGAGUACCAAGCAAGCAGCACUCAAAUAUUGGGGGCAGUGGAAAAAUGGAACUACCAUAUAAGCAAGAUUAAGGAUGGUGACAACUUCACGUGCUUGCUGAAAACUCCAUACACAGAGAUUUAGGUCCUUUAAAGUACACAAACAUUUAGUUUGGUCACAAGUUAGAUUUAAUCCUGUGCGUUUUAAUUUUUAGAUGUAAACAAUGGCAAAUAAUAAUGACCAACAUAUAAGCCAGAAACAGAGCCUCACACACAGAAAACUUGGCACCAAAACUCAAGAUUUAAAAUAAGAAAAGAAAAAGAAAGUCCAUUAACAUACUCACGUGUGGUGCUAGAAAAUUUAAUACGAUGCACAGCAGCUGAAAUGCGUUAUCUUACAGAUGCAACCUACAUUAACAAGUAAGUUAUAUAACAAACCAUUCUAGCCACAGACACUUAGUGUACUUGCCCUUAUUAUUAUGUACCUGAUGUCCAAAAAAGCACAACAAUUUAAGACUUUGGGCACUUUAUGUAGCAGAUAUAUAAAAAGCAAAGCAGGAAUUAAGAGCAAAUGAAUUUAAUAAUACUGAUAUAAGGCAGCUUUUAAUCUAUUCACAGGAAAAGGAAAAAUUUAUAUUAUCUCCUAAAUAUUAUAGCAUGUAAUAUGAAGAGUUAAUAAUCUCGUCCAUUCUGAAUGAAAAAAACUAACUUUAAAUAAGUUAAUUCUAUGCUCCUUGAACGUCUUAAAAAAAAGAAACGGUUAUGAUUUGCUAGGACUACACUUUACCAUAUGAGCAGCGUUACAGGGAAUAAAAUAGACCUAGUACCAUUAUUUUGGAGAUUCAAACUGUUACACGUUGGUGGACUAAAUGGGGUAAAUUAUUAAAAUGUGCAGAAAUCAAGAAGCAACUUACAAAUUAACUUACUGACAAAACUGACAUUUUAUCUCGAUGUUAAAACUAAAUAACCACAUAUACAAUAGCAAUGAAUAAUGAUUACUUGUGCUCUAUCUCCAGGCCAAAGGCUUAUAAUUGUUUUUGGCUAGGUAGCUCAGGCUAAAUACUUCUUCUAAAAAAAAUAUGAAAGCUCAGUCCAGGGAAGUCACCAUAAUGCAGGGUCUUGAGUGGUGGCUCUUAUACUGAGAAGGAAAAACAGACUGGCACCUGAGCCCAUCUCAGCCACACCUGGUGGAAAAGAGACACUUGAGGGCCCUGUAACCAAGGACAGAAUUGUAAAUAAAAGAUUCUCAUUUUUUAAAAGACACCUACUAAAAAAAAAGGACAUCGUGAUAUUUAUUGGCUGAAAAGAUUAAGCUAUCCAUAAAAUGAAUAAAACAUCUUUGUAAUAAAAUGUUCAGGACCAAUUAGAGUAUUAUUUAGAAAGUCAUUAAAAAUAUCAACUUCUAAUUAUCCACUGUUUGAAUAAAUGACAAGCAAUUUAAUCAUGUUAUGACUCCGUAUUUUAUAAUGAAAGUUUGUUAUAAAAAUUAGAGUUUUAAAUCUAACUACAGCUAAGAAAAAUGCACAAAUAACUUUGCUUUAAAGCAAUCCACUGAGAAUCAUCUCAAUGUUCUACUAGUAUAUAAAACAUACUAUCAAUUGUUUCUACAUUACCUUUAGUCACAACUAUACAUGAAGUCGCGAGAGUCCCUGCAAUGUAACAGUAAACAGAGGCCAUGUUUAUAAUACCAGAUCACUAUAUAAGGAUCACAGCCCAAACUAAUGGCGAAUCUUGCCAAUAAACUUAACAAAACAGAAGCUAAGCUAUUCACAGAUGAUUGACAGCCUCCGGUACCUACACACGUCGUGCAUUAGCCUGUAUGGUUUUGCUGUCUAGGAUCUAUUUUCAAUAUAAUACAGAGUCAAAGCAAUGAAAUGGAAACCAAAGGGUUAAACUAGUUUUGUGGGUUUUAUUUCCUCCGAAGUCUAAAUGUUCACAUUUCUGAUUAGAAUAAUGUGGUUUAUAAUUAAUUUUCAUGAAUUAUUCAUAACACUUAAGGUAAAACAAAAAAGCUGAUAUUGGUUAUUUUGGUUAUUAUAGCUCUAUAGCUUACACUCAACAUUUAAGGGUGAAAACCGCAUCCAUUUUGUUAAUGCUGUGAACUGCAGAAGAAAAAUUUUUAUAAUAUAAAUUUUUAAGAAAAAGUUAAUACAAAUAAAUGUAACAACUAAAAUAAAUGUAUAAUGCCAUGGCUAAUGAUUUGCAUAUAAGAUCUCAUUUCUAAAAGACUACACGUAAACAUUAAGAUUGUCCUAUCAAAGCAUAAAUAAGCUAACUGAUGUAAGCUGGGCUAAAACGAAAGAUAUUUAAAAAUAAUGCCACCAGUACCAGAAGCUUACAGCAAGCUUGAGGUCUUUAAUGUAAAUAGUCAUAUUUUACAAGGAACUAUCAACCAUUAAGUUACAAUGGGCUUUAAAACAUAACUUUCUCACAUCUGCUAAGACGUGGAAAUCAAAACCUAGAAAAGUGAAUUUUCUUCAGAAACCUUCUGAGCCAGAGAGGUCUGAAAAGAUAUUUUAAUCCAAUCCAAGCUUCUUGUUUUGAAAUCAAAAUUAGGCAAAGAAAAGUUUAAAGACCACAGUGACACAACUAGUUAGUGGCAAAGUAAUGGUGGCAAAGUAAUGAUGCCAAGUUCCAAAUCUAAUUAGUUAACUGUUCUUUCAGUUCAAAUACACUCUCUCGACAAGAAUAUUGAGGCUGCUGUGAAAUUAAACCCCCUCCUCUAGAGAUCAAUUUAAUCCACACAAUUUUCCUCACUAACACCAACUGUUCUAAAAGGCAAAAUUACAUUACUAAUUUUGAAAACAAAGUUUUAGGACUUUUGCCUGCUUAUGUACUGCCUUUAAACAAAACAUCCUCAACUACAUCUUUAGCUGGAAAGAAUAAACGAAAGACACUUACUCGACGUGAGCCCCAUUCGCCACAAGGGCACUGAUGCAUUCUAGGCUCCCAGAGCGAGCUGCCUUGUGAAUGGGAGUUUCACCCUCACAAUCCUGA
rnacentral:lncRNA from 1 species